CUACUUGGUUACAUCUGGAAGAAACAACCUGGCUGCUCCCACACGUGCACGGCUUCUUAGAGAAAGUUUGAUGGGUGACGGUGUCAGCCAAAGCUCUGGAGUUUCCAGUUGAAGUUGAAGCUGUGGGAAUCAAAAAGAAGAUGAAUCCCCACCUUGCCGAAGCAAAACUAAACAUAUUCCAAAUUAACAAUUCAUCACAAUAAAAAAAAAUGUGGAA